rnacentral:lncRNA from 1 species
GUUUUAACUCCAUUUAAAAAUUUCCACAUUUUGUGUUGUUAUGUAGUGCGCUCACCUGAGAUAUUAAAUAAAUACUUUUAAAAUAGUACCCCCAGUACCCUAAAAAAUGAUUUCUCAGGUUUAUUAUUUUGUAAACAAACCGAGAUAGAGAUGCAAUCAGUGAUUUUAACGAAAAAUUUCUACUGGUCGCCGGACCACCAGCUGACAAAAUCUACUGGUC